AGUGAACGCUGGCGGUAGGCCUAACACAUGCAAGUCGAACGGCAGCACAGUAAGAGCUUGCUCUUAAGGGAGGCGAGUGGCGGACGGGUGGGGAAUACAUUGACACCUACUUUACCGUGGGGGAUAACGUAGGGAACCUUACGAUAAUACCGCUAAUGACCUACGGGAGAAAACAGUCGCUUUUUAGUUUUUGCGAGAAUGAAUGAGCCGAUGAGGGAUUCGCUAGUUGGGGGGUUAAAGGUCCACCAAGGCGACGAUACGUAACCGGUCUGUGAGGAUAUGCAGCGACACUGGAUUUGAGGCACGGUCCACAAUCCUACGAGAGGGAGCAGUGGCGAAUAUUGGACAAAGGGCGCAAGCCUGAUCCAGCCAUACCGCGUGAAUGAAGAAGGCCGUCGGGUUGUAAAGCCCUGAUGUUGGGAGAGAAGUGCAGCAGGUUAGUACGCCACGAUUCUGACGGUACCAAAAGAAUAAGCACCGGCUAACUUCGUG
rnacentral:rRNA from 1 species